UGGGCAGACGCUAGAGGGGAAGGGAAAGUUCAGUUUUAGAGUAGGCUGUGUUUUCAUUUGCCAGAUGUUUCAUCGCUCUAUACAGGGACUGAAUCUGCCUUUUGCUUUAUAGCAGAUCGUUCAUCUAACAUCAUCAGAGAGAGGUGUGGCCCUUAUAACUGACGCUCCGUAGAGGAUGCAAAUGGAGGUGACAUGUCCAUGUCUGCUUCAUGACCUCUCCCCUCCAAGUCUCUGCUUGACACAAAGUCUCAAAAAAGGUUCUGUUAACAGCGACCAUGAGCACUGAGCAGUAAGUCCUAUUGCCCCAUUGCCUCCC